CUACACCAGGCACACUGACUCUCAGAAGCUGGUGGAGGAUUAAAGCUGAUUCUGCUCUGGUGAAUUGUUUACUGAACAAAGGUGACUUAAGGAGACCUCAGUGAGGUUCUAGAUCAGAAUGCGGAACUCUCAGGCUGCGGUUCUUCUCCUGCUGUUGGUGACGUUUGUUCCCACUAAAGCUGGAGUAAUUGAGGAUGUACUGAGUA